CAGAUCAGCGGAGGGGCGCGGGGGGGGCCGCCGGCGCAAGGGGCGCCACCCUUCCACAGUGCCGGGUACAUGGGCACAGGGUGGCACUGACUGAAUCACAGACUCUCCCCUCGACUCGCCUAACCUUACCAAUGCCCUUCUCUAACCAGCCUAUAGACUCUUAGAGAGAGAAUGAAAGAGAGAGGGGGAGAGGGGGGGGGGGGCUGCCACACCUGUGUACCAUCGCCCCUGUGCACCUUCCUUCCUUUCCUUCUGUAAAUAUUUUUCUAAUGUUCCUGACCACGACAGCCGACAGAAAAACAUCCGUGAAAGAGAAGGCCAGGAGAAGAGAUGGUGAAAGGCUACCACAACAACACCAAGAAGAAAAUACACACACACACCCACACACACACACACACCCACAAGACAUAUGGACAGCAACCAGAACUGUUCAAGCAAUCUCCAGAGACUAAAUAAAUAAGGUGUAAUAUGAAGGUGGACAAUUUAACCCUGAUGCUUCCCUCCUCCCCCUUCCCAGUGUCCUUUUCAGGGCGCUACUCUUGUCCUUGACUUCAUUUUAUUUUUGUAAUGUCUUCCCUUAGGCCCCGUGUCCCUCUACCUUUGUUUGUCUAACGACCCCCCCCCCCCCCCCCCCCUGCACUUUCUGUAUUGAUGGACAUUCCAACCUAACCCCCCCACCCCCCACGUCCUUAUGUCUGCACCGUUUUGUUUUAUCUAGUGGUUCAUUAUAGCGAAAGAGUUAAAGGAAAAAAAAAACAGCUUUUUGUAAAGAGUAAAAAAAUUACAGAACUAUUAUUUUUUUUAUUCCUCCAUGUAACAAGAAAAAAAAAAUGAUCUGCGCACCGCUGUAGAGAUUCAAAGGAAGAACUUAGUGGUAGGCCGCUUCACUGCCCCAACAGUCUGCACUUGAGUAUGAGUAUGAGUGUGUGUGUGUGUAUGUAUGAGUGUAUGUAACAGCCACGUAGACACACACUGUGGAUGUUUGUCUGUGUUUUUGUCACUUGUAUGUGUGUGUAUUUGUGUAUGCAUGUUUGUCGGUGGUGUGUGUGUGUGACUUGGAGGGGGGGGGAUAUUGGGCUGAAGAGGGCGUCGUGCAGUGCAGCGGUCUGCUUGCCGUGGCCCCCGCCGUGAGUGUGUGUGUGUGUGUGUGUGUGUGUGUGUGGGGUAUGGCUUGCCUGGUCAUCAGCGGUUUAUUUUUGAAUAUCAAUGGUUAUUUGUAGAAAGUGUAAUUUAAUUGUAUAGGUGGUUUUACUCCAGCUUUCUCCAGAAACAGGUUGUAAAUAUUCGCUUCCUCUCUCUUUCUUUUCUAUUGCUUGUACAAUUCACUUCCCAUGCCCAUUUUGGAAUAAGGUUGUAAAUAGCGAGUGCUCUCUUGGCAAAAGCUGAAUGUUUCUGUGACUGUAGCACUACUUUUAUUUUAAUUUUCUUUUUGUUUCCUCCUCUCUGGACUAUUCUAUUUUGUCUUCUUCUUUUUUAUUUUUAUUUCUGUGUGUGUGCGUGGGUGUAUGUGUGAGUGUGUGCGUGGGUGUGUGUGUAUGUGUGGAGAGCGACUCAGACACAGCACUGGUUGGCUAUUUUCAUGGUUCAUUAUAAUAAAUCACUGUAAUGACAGUUUUA
ensembl:lncRNA